rfam:Camelus ferus unplaced genomic scaffold scaffold1731, whole genome shotgun sequence.
GAGGGUGUAGCUCAAGUGGUAGAGUGCGUGCUUUGCAUGCAUGAGGUCCUGGGCUCAAUCCCCAGUGCCUCCC